CUUGGCGAAGGAGAUCUCGCCUUCGUUCUGCAGGUGAAACCUCUGAAUGCACCUCCGGACCAGAUCCUCCCAGCCCGGCUUCAUGGACGCACGGAGCAGACUGGUGUCAAGGGACGUGAUCUUACCUGGACGGGUCCUGCCGUGUGGUGAAGCUCUCGUACGUGGGCAUCACAGGUCUCUCUUUGACGGGGACUCUUCUUGCCACACAGAUGAGACACGACUGGAAAUCUGCAUGAUUGGAAAGAAUCAAAAUAACCUUUCACUAACUAGCACGACAGGAUUCAUCACGUUUGUAAGAAUGAAGAGCAUAAAAACAGAGGAGGUCCGAAGUUGAGCUCGUCUUACCUCCAGCAUCAUGGGCCCGAGGGCGUCUUUAUCGAUGACACCCUGUCCGGUGGAGGAGACGUCGGCCUUCUGCACCUCCUCAGCAUCGGCCACUGGAGCUUUUUCUGUGAAACAGAAAGGGCGAGUAAACUUCACAGAGGGGACCCUCACCCUGAUCCUUGAUCUGCCUGAUCUGCUUCACCGUCUCUUUGAGGAUGGCGCAUUUGUCCGGCU